GCUUUCAUGUUUCCUAUUCGCACAAAAA
rnacentral:piRNA from 1 species